AGGCGCUUGGCUCAAUGGUAGAGUAGCGGUCUCCAAAACCGCGGGUUGCAGGUUCGAGUCCUGCAGCGCCUG
rnacentral:tRNA from 1 species